rnacentral:misc_RNA from 1 species
GAUGAAGAACGUAGCGAAAUGCGAUAAGUAAUGUGAAUUGCAGAAUUCAGUGAAUCAUCGAAUCUUUGAACGCACCUUGCGCCCUUUGGCCAUUCCGAAGGGCAUGCCUGUUUGAGUAUCAUGAACACCUCAACUCUUUAUGGUUUUCCAUGAUGAGCUUGGACUCUGGGGGUUUUGCUGGCUCACAGUCUGCUCCUCUAAAAUGAAUCAGCUUACCAGUGUUUGGUGGGUAUCAUGGGUGUGAUAACUAUCUACGCUUGUGGUUUUUCCACCAGGUAACCUUCAGCAGUGGAGGUUCGCUGGAGCUCAUAGAUGUCUCUCCUCAGUGAGGACAGCCCUUUGAAUGUUUGAUCUCAAAUCAGGUAGGACUACCCGCUGAACUUAAGCAUAUCAAUAAGCGGAGGA